UACGUAGGGUGCAAGCGUUAAUCGGAAUUACUGGGCGUAAAGCGUGCGCAGGCGGUUAUGUAAGACAGAUGUGAAAUCCCCGGGCUCAACCUGGGAACUGCAUUUGUGACUGCAUAGCUAGAGUACGGUAGAGGGGGAUGGAAUUCCGCGUGUAGCAGUGAAAUGCGUAGAUAUGCGGAGGAACACCGAUGGCGAAGGCAAUCCCCCUGGACCUGUACUGACGCUCAUGCACGAAAGCGUGGGGGAGCAAACAGG
rnacentral:rRNA from 1 species